rnacentral:rRNA from 1 species
AACGAACGCUGGCGGCGUGGAUAAGACAUGCAAGUCGAACGCUGAUUUCAGGGUAGCAAUAUUCUGAAGUCGGAGUGGCGCAAGGGUGCGUAACACGUGGGUAAUCUGCCUUGAAGCCUGGGAUAACUCCGAGAAAUCGGAGCUAAUACCGGAUGUGAUUGCUGGAAGGCAUCUUUCGGCAAUUGAAGUUGGGGACCGCAAGGCCUGACACUUCUUGAUGAGCCCGCGGCCUAUCAGCUAGUUGGUGAGGUAAUGGCUCACCAAGGCUAAGACGGGUAGCUGGUCUGAGAGGACGACCAGCCACACUGGAACUGAGACACGGUCCAGACACCUACGGGUGCAGCAGUCGAGUAAUUUUUCUCAAUGGGCGAAAGCCUGAAGGAGCGACGCCGCGUGGGGAUGAAU